rnacentral:rRNA from 1 species
GGGUUGUGAGGUUAAGCGACUAAGCGUACACGGUGGAUGCCUAGGCAGUCAGAGGCGAUGAAGGGCGUGCUAAUCUGCGAUAAGCGUCGGUAAGCUGAUAUGAAGCGUUAUACCCGACGAUACCCGAAUGGGGAAACCCAGUGUGUUUCGACACACUAUCAUGACAUGAAUACAUAGUGUCAUGAGGCGAACCGGGGGAACUGAAACAUCUCAGUACCCCGAGGAAAAGAAAUCAACCGAGAUUCCCCCAGUAGCGGCGAGCGAACGGGGAGGAGCCCAGAACCUGAAUCAGUUUGUGUGUUAGUGGAAGCGUCUGGAAAGUCGCACAGUAAAGGGUGAUAGUCCCGUACACAAAAAUGCACAAGUUGUGAGUUCGAUGAGUAGGGCGGGACACGUGACAUCCUGUCUGAAUAUGGGGGGACCAUCCUCCAAGGCUAAAUACUCCUGACUGACCGAUAGUGAACCAGUACCGUGAGGGAAAGGCGAAAAGAACCCCGGCGAGGGGAGUGAAAUAGAACCUGAAACCGUGUACGUACAAGCAGUGGGAGCCUACUUGUUAGGUGACUGCGUACCUUUUGUAUAAUGGGUCAGCGACUUAUAUUCUGUAGCAAGGUUAACCGUAUAGGGGAGCCGCAGGGAAACCGAGUCUUAACUGGGCGUUAAGUUGCAGGGUAUAGACCCGAAACCCGGUGAUCUAGCCAUGGGCAGGUUGAAGGUUGGGUAACACUAACUGGAGGACCGAACCGACUAAUGUUGAAAAAUUAGCGGAUGACUUGUGGCUGGGGGUGAAAGGCCAAUCAAACCGGGAGAUAGCUGGUUCUCCCCGAAAGCUAUUUAGGUAGCGCCUCGUGAAUUCAUCUUCGGGGGUAGAGCACUGUUUCGGCUAGGGGGUCAUCCCGACUUACCAACCCGAUGCAAACUACGAAUACCGAAGAAUGUUAUCACGGGAGACACACGGCGGGUGCUAACGUUCGUCGUGAAGAGGGAAACAACCCAGACCGCCAGCUAAGGUCCCAAAGUCAUGGUUAAGUGGGAAACGAUGUGGGAAGGCAUAGACAGCCAGGAUGUUGGCUUAGAAGCAGCCAUCAUUUAAAGAAAGCGUAAUAGCUCACUGGUCGAGUCGGCCUGCGCGGAAGAUGUAACGGGGCUAAACCAUGCACCGAAGCUGCGGCAGCGACACUUAGGUGUUGUUGGGUAGGGGAGCGUUCUGUAAGCCUGCGAAGGUGGCCUGUGAGGGCUGCUGGAGGUAUCAGAAGUGCGAAUGCUGACAUAAGUAACGAUAAUGCGGGUGAAAAACCCGCACGCCGGAAGACCAAGGGUUCCUGUCCAACGUUAAUCGGGGCAGGGUGAGUCGACCCCUAAGGCGAGGCUGAAAAGCGUAGUCGAUGGGAAACAGGUUAAUAUUCCUGUACUCGGUGUUACUGCGAAGGGGGGACGGAGAAAGCUAGGUUAUCCGGGCGACGGUUGUCCCGGUUUAAGCGUGAAGGUGGGUGACUUUGGUAAAUCCGGGUCAUCGUUAACACUGAGGCGUGAUGACGAGUCACUACGGUGAUGAAGUAACCGAUGCUACGCUUCCAGGAAAAGCCUCUAAGCUCCAGGUAACAUCAAAUCGUACCCCAAACCGACACAGGUGGUCAGGUAGAGAAUACUCAGGCGCUUGAGAGAACUCGGGUGAAGGAACUAGGCAAAAUGGUGCCGUAACUUCGGGAGAAGGCACGCUGAUGGUAGGUGAAGUGACUUGCUCAUGGAGCUGAAAUCAGUCGAAGAUACCAGCUGGCUGCAACUGUUUAAUAAAAACACAGCACUGUGCAAACACGAAAGUGGACGUAUACGGUGUGACGCCUGCCCGGUGCCGGAAGGUUAAUUGAUGGGGUCAGCCGCAAGGCGAAGCUCUUGAUCGAAGCCCCGGUAAACGGCGGCCGUAACUAUAACGGUCCUAAGGUAGCGAAAUUCCUUGUCGGGUAAGUUCCGACCUGCACGAAUGGCGUAAUGAUGGCCAGGCUGUCUCCACCCGAGACUCAGUGAAAUUGAACUCGCUGUGAAGAUGCAGUGUACCCGCGGCAAGACGGAAAGACCCCGUGAACCUUUACUAUAGCUUGACACUGAACCUUGAGCCUUGAUGUGUAGGAUAGGUGGGAGGCUUUGAAGCGUGGACGCCAGUCUGCGUGGAGCCAACCUUGAAAUACCACCCUUUAAUGUUUGAUGUUCUAACGUGGACCCGUAAUCCGGGUUGCGGACAGUGUCUGGUGGGUAGUUUGACUGGGGCGGUCUCCUCCCAAAGCGUAACGGAGGAGCACGAAGGUUAGCUAAUCCUGGUCGGACAUCAGGAGGUUAGUGCAAAGGCAUAAGCUAGCUUGACUGCGAGAGUGACAGCUCGAGCAGGUGCGAAAGCAGGUCUUAGUGAUCCGGUGGUUCUGAAUGGAAGGGCCAUCGCUCAACGGAUAAAAGGUACUCCGGGGAUAACAGGCUGAUACCGCCCAAGAGUUCAUAUCGACGGCGGUGUUUGGCACCUCGAUGUCGGCUCAUCACAUCCUGGGGCUGAAGUAGGUCCCAAGGGUAUGGCUGUUCGCCAUUUAAAGUGGUACGCGAGCUGGGUUUAGAACGUCGUGAGACAGUUCGGUCCCUAUCUGCCGUGGGCGUUGGAAGAUUGAGAGGGGUUGCUCCUAGUACGAGAGGACCGGAGUGAACGCACCACUGGUGUACGGGUUGUGAUGCCAAUUGCAUUGCCCGGUAGCUAAGUGCGGAAGAGAUAACCGCUGAAAGCAUCUAAGCGGGAAACUUGCCUCGAGAUGAGUCUUCCCUGGGUACUUGAUACCCCUGAAGGGCCGUUGAAGACGACGACGUAGAUAGGCUGGGUGUGUAAGCGUAGCGAUACGUUGAGCUGACCAGUACUAAUGACCCGAGAGGCUUAACCUUACAACACCGAAGGUGUUU